GUAGGGUGCAAGCGUUAAUCGGAAUUACUGGGCGUAAAGCGUGCGCAGGCGGUUUUGUAAGUCUGUCGUGAAAGCCCCGGGCUCAACCUGGGAAUUGCGAUGGAGACUGCAAGGCUUGAAUCUGGCAGAGGGGGGUAGAAUUCCACGUGUAGCAGUGAAAUGCGUAGAGAUGUGGAGGAACACCGAUGGCGAAGGCAGCCCCCUGGGUCAAGAUUGACGCUCAUGCACGAAAGCGUGGGGGGAGCAAACAGGAUUAGAUACCCUGGUAGUCCACGCCCUAACGAUGUCUACUAGUUGUCGGGUUUUAAUUAACUUGGUAACGCAGCUAACGCGUGAAGUAGACCGCCUGGGGAGUACGGUCGCAAGAUUA
rnacentral:rRNA from 1 species